GAUACCAUCGUGAGUAGCGCCACCUGGCGGGUGGGUAGCAUGAUACGAGCAAUCGAUGAAAAUCCAAGUGAAAAUAUCGGUACAAUCGGCAGUGGCCAUCGAAGUUUGCCCAGCUCUAGCAGCGCGCAACUCACUCGUAGUCGACUUUUAGGUGCGUAGUCGCGAAAAACUAUGAAGACGCAACUCUCGCGUCGAACGGUCCUCAGAAUCCGGGAUUCGUCCUCCAGUUCGAAAAUCCAGCUAAUAAAUCCAACAUUUUGUUGCAAAGUGAAAUGCGAAGAACGCGUUGCAGAGUAAUCACAUCGCAAAUACGGCGAAGGCAGAUAAAUUGAAAAGAAUUGAAAAAUCAAGCGAAAACCAGUGAAGAAUCGGAAUCAAAGAACGUAUCGGAAACAGCGGAAUAACACUAAAAAUAUACAUACAUAUAUAUAUAUAUAUACAUAUAUAUAUUUAACCAUCAUUUAAAAGCAAUCAAAAAGCAACCAAACGAACAACAAAAAGCAACAAAAGUGCCAUAUGCAACCGAUAAGACUGUGUGAAUGGUCAAGUGGUCAUCAGCAUUGAAGCGAUUCUCUCUCCCCGCAUGUGUGUGUGUGACUGAGUGCGUGAGUGUGUGUGUGUGUGAGUGGGAGAGAUAGAUAGAGAG